ACCUCAAGUCAUGUGAGAUUACCCGCUGAACUUAAGCAUAUCAAUAAGCGGAGGAAAAGAAACUAACAAGGAUUCCCCUAGUAACGGCGAGUGAAGCGGGAAGAGCACAAAUUUAAAAUCUACCUGGUUUUCAGGUCGAGUUGUAAUUUGAAGAUACGUUUUUGAUGUUCCAGGUUGGACUAAAUCCUUUGGGAUAAGGUAUCAUAGAGGGUGAGAAUCCCGUAUAUACCAACCGUAGGGAUGUUAUUAAAUACGUUUCUAAGAGUCGAGUUGUUUGGGAAUGCAGCUCUAAAUGGGUGGUAAAUUUCACCUAAUGCUAAAUAUAAGCGAGAGACCGAUAGCGAACAAGUACAGUGAUGGAAAGAUGAAAAGAACUUUGAAAAGAGAGUUAAAUAGUACGUGAAAUUGUUGAAAGGGAAACGAUUGAAGUCAGUCAUGCCGGUGGGAAUCAACUUAGGGGAAACUCUAGGUGCACUUCUUCGCUUGGCAGGUCAACGUCGAUUUUGAAUGUCAUAAAAUAAUUUGGGGAAGGUAGCUCCUUCGGGAGUGUUAUAGCCUUUGAUAGAUGUGAUGUUUGGGGUCGAGGAUUGCAACGAAUACCCUUUGGGGCUAGCCGCCUGAUCUCUAAUCGGUGUUGGGUUAUGGAUAGCAUGCUGACCGUGAUCUAAUUACUGGUUAAAAGGUUAGAGCGUGCAUAAAUUCGUUAAGGACGUUGACGUAAUGGCUUUAAACGACCCGUCUUGAAACACGGACCAAGGAGUCUAACAUGUAUGCGAGUGUUAGGGUAUUAAACCCAGACGCGAAAUGAAAGUGAGUGUAGGUGGGAUCCUUUAUUGGAGCACCAUCGACCGAUCUUGAGAUUUAUCGAUAGAAUUGAGUUAGAGC
rnacentral:rRNA from 1 species